UAGGGAAUCUUCGGCAAUGGACGAAAGUCUGACCGAGCAACGCCGCGUGAGUGAAGAAGGUUUUCGGAUCGUAAAAAUCUGUUGUUAGAGAAGAACAAGGACGUUAGUAACUGAACGUCCCCUGACGGUAUCUAACCAGAAAGCCACGGCUAACUACGUGCCAGCAGCCGCGGUAAUACGUAGGUGGCAAGCGUUGUCCGGAUUUAUUGGGCGUAAAGCGAGCGCAGGCGGUUUCUUAAGUCUGAUGUGAAAGCCCCCGGCUCAACCGGGGAGGGUCAUUGGAAACUGGGAGACUUGAGUGCAGAAGAGGAGAGUGGAAUUCCAUGUGUAGCGGUGAAAUGCGUAGAUAUAUGGAGGAACACCAGUGGCGAAGGCGGCUCUCUGGUCUGUAACUGACGCUGAGGCUCGAAAGCGUGGGGAGCAAACAGG
rnacentral:rRNA from 1 species